AAGCACAAGGACACACAAAAAACUUCAUAGAGAAGGAAGUGAGAGACAAAAAUAACCAGAGAGAGAAGCAAAGUUACUAAAAAGAGAUGGA